rfam:Triticum aestivum genome assembly, contig: Triticum_aestivum_CS42_TGACv1_scaffold_080150_1DS
UUGCAAUGAUGAUACUAUUACCCAGCUCAUUAUGAGACCUCCCUUUGUGGGAAGUCAUGAUAUGAACUUCUCUUUUGUAUCUGAGCCCA